CCAAGUAGACAAAAGCCUUCUUUUUAAGAGGAAAAAUGAAGUUGGAAGAGUGGUGAAGAAGUUUUGGAUAUUUGAAGUACAUGACAACACUGUAAA